rnacentral:sRNA from 1 species
GCCAGGUGUGGUGGUGCACGCCUGUAAUCCCAGCAGCUCAGGAGGCUGAGGCAGUAGGAGUGCAAGUUCAAAACCAGUCUCAGCAAUUUAGUGAGGCCCCCCAAGCAAUUUAGCGAGACCCUGUCUCAA